rnacentral:rRNA from 1 species
ACGGGUGAGGAACGCGUAGGAACCUGCCUUACAGAGGGGGACAACUAGAGGAAACUCUAGCUAAUACCGCAUAAAGUCGAAAGACCAAAGCUAGGUGGUAACAUCUGGCACUGUAAGAGGGGCCUGCGUCUGAUUAGCUAGUUGGUAGGGUAAAGGCCUACCAAGGCGAUGAUCAGUAGCUGGUCUGAGAGGAUGAUCAGCCACACUGGAACUGAGACACGGUCCAGACUCCUACGGGAGGCAGCAGUGGGGAAUAUUGGACAAUGGGGGCAACCCUGAUCCAGCAAUACCGCGUGUGUGAAGAAGGCCUUCGGGUUGUAAAGCACUUUAGGUUGGGAAGAAGGUGAAUUGUUUAAGAGAUGGUUCACUUGACGGUACCGACAGAAUAAGCACCGGCUAACUCUGUGCCAGCAGCCGCGGUAAUACAGAGGGUGCAAGCGUUAAUCGGAGUUACUGGGCGUAAAGGGCGCGUAGGCGGUUUAUUAAGUGAGAUGUGAAAGCCCUGGGCUUAACCUAGGAACUGCAUCUUAUACUGAUAAGCUGGAGUACUGUAGAGGGUAGUGGAAUUUCCGGUGUAGC